GAGGCUAGAGAAAUUUUAAAUUUCUCUGGAGAGGUAAUUUUGUGGGAAGGCCAGUGAAGUCAGAGAAAUUUUCAAAUUUCUCUGGAGUGUUGAGUCUAGGAGGGCAGAGAAAUUUACAGUGGGAGGUUUAGGGAAGGUCAGCUGAGGCUUGAAAACGUUUCUGGAAAGUACUUGGCAGACUGCAACGAAGCUUCAACAUCCAAAUUGGGAUCCAACUGUACCGAAGCUGCAAGGUUGUGGUCUGUCUUGGAGCUCAUGCCCCAAGAAUUUCUCAAAUUUCUCUAAAUUCAACCCAGAGAAAUUUGAAUUUUCUUUGGAUUCAACCCAGAGAAAAUUCAAAUUUCUCUGGGUUCAUUUUGACCGGUUUCUUUCGAGGCAAGCAAGGGGGUCCAACUCUAAAUUGCCUCUUGUUGAUCCAACUCUACCGAAGCUGCAAGGUGAUGUUGAAGCUUCUUUGAGUUGGUGUCCCAGUGUUUUUUGAAUUCAUUGAUCUUCUUUUCAAUUGUUUGGGCUUGAUUUUCUUGGCUGGUUUUGUUUUUUAAUUUCUUCUUCAUUCAUCCGUGAAUUAAUAGUUGUAAAUGCUACCGACACCGCCAAUCUAUAAAUAUAACUAUCCUUUCUUGUUGCAGUACACAAAA